rnacentral:rRNA from 1 species
UACGGGGGGGGCAAGCGUUGUUCGGAAUCACUGGGCGUAAAGGGUGCGUAGCCGGGUUUUUAAGUCAGGGGUGAAAUCCUGGAGCUCAACUCCAGAACUGCCUUUGAUACUGAAGAUCUUGAGUCCGGGAGAGGUGAGUGGAACUGCGAGUGUAGAGGUGAAAUUCGUAGAUAUCUGGAGGAAUACCGGUGGCGAAGGCGGCAUCCUGGACCGACAUUGACGCUGAACGGCGAAAGCUAGGGGAGCAAACGGG